rnacentral:rRNA from 1 species
GACGAACGCUGGCGGCGUGCUUAACACAUGCCAGUCGAACGGAAAGGCCCUGCUUUUGUGGGGUGCUCGAGUGGCGAACGGGUGAGUAACACGUGAGUAACCUGCCCUUGACUUUGGGAUAACUUCAGGAAACUGGGGCUAAUACCGGAUAGGAGCUCCUGCUGCAUGGUGGGGGUUGGAAAGUUUCGGCGGUUGGGGAUGGACUCGCGGCUUAUCAGCUUGUUGGUGGGGUAGUGGCUUACCAAGGCUUUGACGGGUAGCCGGCCUGAGAGGGUGACCGGCCCCAUGGGGAUGGGGGAGGGGCCCGGGGCCUAUGGGGGGGAAGGGGGGGGGAAAUUUGCCAAAGGGGCGGAAGCCGGGAGGAAGAACGCCGGGUGGGGGAGGACGGCCUUGGGGUUGGAACCCGCUUUAGCCUGUGACGAGGCGUGGGGACGGGUAAUGGGGAAAAAAGCACCGGUAAACUCGGG